UACGAAGGGGGCUAGCGUUGCUCGGAAUCACUGGGCGUAAAGCGCACGUAGGCGGCUUUUUAAGUCAGGGGUGAAAUCCUGGAGCUCAACUCCAGAACUGCCUUUGAUACUGAGAAGCUUGAGUCCGGAAGAGGUGAGUGGAACUCCGAGUGUAGAGGUGAAAUUCGCAGAUAUCGGGAAGAACACCCGUGGCGAAGGCGGCUCUCUGGGACGGUACUGACGCUGAGACGCGAAAGCGUGGGGAGCGAACAGG
rnacentral:rRNA from 1 species